UGGUAGAGACGGGGUUUUUGCCAUGUUGGCCAGGCUGGUCUCGAACUCCUGACUUCAAGUGGUCUGCCCACCUCAAUCUCCCAAAGUGCUGGGAUUAUAGGCAUGAGCCACCAUGCCCGUCCCAGAGUGUCCACUUAAAUCAUGGUUCCUGUUACUGAGAAUGUAAGUCUCCCCACCUAGAGGGCAGAAGCUGAGCAGGAGAAUGACUACCCCCACCCAGGCUGGCACUGCCCUGCCAAGGCUCCCAGGCUGGGGGGACACAGCCUGCCUAACUCCCCACCCCCCACCCUCUUUCUCAGCUUUUUCUCCAAGCAAGGCCCCCUGAGGAGGGGAAGACAGAGCUGGGUCCCCUGCUUCUCCCCAGAGUCAACCUGUUUCCCCCAAGUGAGGUGUGGAUGGUUAACAGCCAUACCUGCCUCACACCCAGACCGUGGUGGCACUGUGGAUGGCAUGAAGUGAGCCACAGUGCAUGGGGUUGGCAGUUAUAUUUUUGUAAGGACCAACCCUCUCUGGGCCUCAGUUUCCCCAUCUGAAAAAUGACGGGACUGGCCUAAAAGAUUUCUAAGGAUACUCUGAGCUCCUGAGAAGAAUGGAAUCCCCUAGGUCCCUUUCCUGACUGGGGAAAACAGAAAGAACAGCUAGGCUGUCUGUCUAAUUUAGUCUUAAAACCAAAUGUUUACUAAAGCACUUGGACUGGGCUGAACACACAUUCACUAACUUACAUCCACCCUCUCACCCUCACAGCAGCCUGCAAAGGAGGCUUCACUAUCUCAACUCAAAGAUAAGGAAGCAGAGACCCAGUCAUAGUGGGCCCCUGCCCCAGGGCUCAUGGCUGUCAGGUGGGCAGCCAGGCCUAGAACCCAGGACCAAAGUGGAGGGGGUGAGAAGAGGCAGCCAUGAGGGCCCAUCUGGUGGCCUCAGCAUGUUAAGAAACAAAUGGGUGCCCGGGCCAGGGGCACAGCACAACAGAAGCAUCGAGGGCCUCUGCUCUGGGAGCCUCCUUCCUUCCCUCCUGACGAGCUGCAGUGGGCAGAUGGAUUCACAUCCAGGAUCAAAGUGGGGGAAGGAACUUUUCAUUCAUAACGGCCUCUGUUUACAGAAGAGAAUCUUCCAAAGAGUGGAGUCUCCAGAGGAGGAAAAAUAGCCAAUAGUGUCCUGAAGGCUAACAGCUGGUGGUCACAGCUUCCCAGUGCGAAGCGAGAGGGGCAGGGGUGUGCGCGCCCAGGGAGGCGGUGCUCCUGCUGCCCACUCUGGGCAUUGUCUCUCCCUUUACUGCCCCCUUCACUCAGGCCGGAAGCCCACCUUCUAGCAGCCUGGUGCGGGGGCGGGGGGUAGGGACUCUCUUUCAGCCCUCAGAAUAGCUGGGAAGGGAGAACAGGAGUGGGGUUGGAGUGAGGGGUGGAGUGUAUUCUCUGCCUGCCAGUUCCCAACCCCCUUCAUCAGGAUAGCCGCAGGUCGCCCAGAACAUGCGCCCAGGCCUUUCAUCCCACAGGGCCACCAAGCCUGUGAGACGAGUGCAUGGCCUGUGUUUCUGAACCCAUUUUGCAGAGAGGGAAGCUGAGGCACUGUGGGCUGUGGGCUGUCUUCCUCUCUGCUGUCUCUCCCCACCAUCAGCCCAGAAUGCCCACAGGACCCGAUACCAGGUCAGCCCCCACCAGCACAGCAGAAAGCCCCUGCCCGACAGCAGCAGCUCUGGGCAGAGGGGGUUUCCAGGAGUCAGUCUCUGCCAGGCGGAGCAGGGGGUGGGGCACCCAUAGACCAAUGGGGAGGCUCCACGACUAGCUCAUUCCCUCCCCCUCCCAACAACUCCCUGCUGGAGGGCAUUGGUGGGUUCCUGACCCCGCCUCAGCAGGAGAGGUGGAGCAGCUGGGAGGUCUUAGAUGCAGCUCCCUGCCUCCCAACUCUGAGAUGGGAGGCUGGAAAAGCACAGAGGAGGCUCCUGAAAAGGAGAAGGCCUAGUUCAAGUCCCAACUCUGCCUCCACUUGCUGUGUGACCUAAGGCAAGCUGCUUACCCUCUCUGAGCCUGUUUCAUCACCUUGAGAGAGCCUGAUCACACCUACCUUCCAAAUCUGUAUGGGAACCUGCUCUGUAGACUGGAAAGUGCUGUCCAGAGGCGAAGGGGAUUCAGGCUCUGCCCCUGGCCACACAACACUGAGGACUCAUGCAGCACUGUGCUUCAAGCGGCUGGGGGCCCCUCCUCCUGUCCAGCAGCCAUCUCCAGUAGCUCAGAUGCUGGGCCUUCACCUCCCAGUUGCCAAGAAAAGCCAGAGGGAGGGGAGGAGGGAGAGGAGAAGCUCCAACCAGCAGAGGAGCUCAACACUUAGGAGGGUAGGGUGAGAAGAGAAGAGAAGCUGGAGAGACACCUUGACCCUCCUGUGGUCCAAGGGGAAACUGAGGCCCAGAGAAGAUGAUGAUUAAAUCAAGGUCAGCUGUCCAGUUACAAGAGUAGCUGGAGCUAAAAGCUAGGCAGGGGAGGGGGCAAAAGGCAGGUGGAGGAAUGCACCGGUCGGUAGGCAGAGAGACAGACAGACACACACACACGAAGGAGCUUACUUUGGGGGCCAUCCUUUCCACUUCACCAGAUACUCGACUUUACCCUGAGAAGAGAGAGAAGCAGACACAGUGAGUCUCAUGGUUGCCCCUACAGUCACUUGGAAGGACAGUUAAGGCCCAAAGGAUCCCAGCUCCAAAUCCCCUCUGCAGACACAAACACAAUCCAGGGACUGUCCACCAGGUCCUCGCCAACCCAUAUAACCGUGGCUGCUACAUGAUCACCCCAUACUGCCCUCCCUAGAACAGCACAGGAGUGCCUCUGGCUCCAAACACCUCUGAGGCUCCUGAGGCCCAAGCCCAGGUUUCAUGUCGCACGUGGGGAGCUGAGACUGCAUGGAGGUGUGCAUGCGUGGCCAAAGACCCACAGUGUCUAGAGCCCCAGUGCACAGGUCGGAAUGCUUACUUUCUUUUUUAGAUUGGAAGUCUCUAAAUUCAAGAACAUUCCUCUCUGGGGUAGUCCUCAUACUCCUCCCCCAUCUGCCGAGUCUCCUCUCAGUCUCUGAGAGGCUGCCGCUGGCUCAGAGGUAAUGGGCCAGUGACUUGAGGACUCUCAACUCAAAAGACCCUGGCAGGACCCCAUGGAAGACUGGCAAAGUCUCCACCUUCAGAAGGGGUGGUUAGCCCUGCGGUUGUUAGAGCCAGGCCCCUCCCUUCCUCACAGGCUUUAAAAGUUUACAGUUACGGUGGCUCAUGCCUGUCAUCCCAACACUUUGGAAGGCUGAGGCUGGAAGAUCGCUUGAGCCCAGAAGGAGUCUGAGACCAGCCUGGGCAACACGUGGAGGAAACCCGAGGAAAAAGGAGAAGGAGGAGGAACAGCUGCCUCAAUCAGAAGAGUAAAACCCCAAGCAGAGCUGGAGGAAGAAACCUUGACCUUCACCCUUGGCCCAAGACGACAGGACUGAGUUUUCUCUAUGGAGAAAGAAGAUGGGCUGGCAAUCAGCCCAGAGUCGUCCCUGCUCCUUCCUGCACUGACCCCAACUCCUGUCGCUCCAGCCUCCCCUCGGGGACUCGGGUCUGCCUGCCCUCACCGCACGCACCGCCCGAGUUCGCCCCGUCUUUUCUCUGGACCACAGCAGAGACCUCGCGGAGCUGCCGUCUCUCCGAUCUCAGUGCCAGAGUGUGCUUCUAAAAUGCAAAUCUGACGGGGUCACCCUGUGCUUAAAAAUUUUCCUCCCUAUUCCCCUCAGAAUAAAAUCCAACACCUCUUUCUGGCAUACAGAAAAAGAGAGUAAUAGAUUCACACCUGACUUCAUCAAGAGCAAGGGAAGCCAGAGAGAUGCCAUCAUCUUAGAAUUACAUUUUCAGUGAAAUUAUCUUUCAAGAAGUAUGUAGCCAGUAUGAGGUACAUGUAUCCAGAACGUAAGUGAAAUCGUAACACUUACAAAUACAAAAACUUAAGAGUUCGCCCCGGCACACCCUCCGGAGGGAGAUUCCAAAGCGGGAGCUUCAGGCAGGAGAACGGUGAUCCCAGACGGGGGUCUGAUGCAACAGGGAAUAAAGAAAAAUGAAGAACAUUGAUAGUGUGAAACAAUAACAAUGUCUUCUGGAUAAAAACAGAUUUAAAAUACGUAACUGAUCGCAUAUACUUGGGUGAGUGGAGUAAAAGUGUUCUAAGAUCCUUAUAUUCUUCAGGAGGAAGGUGAAGAUAGAUACCAAAUACACUUUGACGAAUUUAAGAAUCCAGGUUGUCAUCACUGGGAUAAACACUGUAAGACUGGAAAUGCAGUGCAUAGUUAUCCAAAUUAUUGGAGGAGGAAAAAGAAUGAUCAAAUCAACCCGAACGACCGUAAAGCAGGCAAGAAUGGAGAGAAAAAUAAAUACAAGACGGGGCAGGGAGGGGACAAAUAGACGAUAGCUAUAAAUUCUAAUAUUCUGUGAUUCAAUAAAUGUAAACUAAAUAUUGCAGUUAAGAUACAAAGAUUAUCAGAAUGCAUAAAUUGCUAGAUGCAGUUUACAAGAGAAACCCACAAGAGGCACUUCCAAAACAUAAAGCUAGUGAAGGUCAAAAGUGAACACAUGGGGUAAAAAUACCAUGCAAAUGCUAACAAAAAGAAGGCUGGUGCAGUUAUUUUAAUAUCUAGGGAAAAACAUCACUAGAGAUAAAUAAGGUCAUUUCAUAAUGAAAAGUGUCCAGUUCACCAGAAAAAUAGAACAAUUUCGCAUUUGUAUGCAAAUACCAGUCUUAAAAUAUAAGAAACAUGAAGAAGAGAACUAGAGGGAGAGACAGACAAAUCCACAAUUAGAGUGGGAGAUUUUAACACUCAUCCCUCCAUGAUUGGUAGGAGAAGAAAAAUAUUCAAUAGUAUAUAGGAGAUAAGCGACUUGAACAUGAUUAAUGAACUUAACUAAUAGACUUAUAGCACACUGUUAUCUACAAUGGUAAAAUACUCCCCUUUUCAAGACAUAUGGAAUACUUACAAAAACAGUUAAUUUCAAUAAAUUUCAAAAGUCAGAAAUAACAGAAUACAUUCUCUGAGCACAGCACAUAUAAGCUAAAGAUGAAUAACAAAAAGUUCACUUUAAAAGCCCCAUGUUUGGAAAGUAAGAAGUAUGGGUUUGUUGUUGUUGUUAUUUUCGUUAUAUUUAUUUAUUU